rnacentral:rRNA from 1 species
AACAAACGCUGGCGGCAGCCUUAACACAUGCAAGUCGAACGCAUCGCAAGAUGAGUGGCCGACGGGUGAGGACCACGUGGGAACAUCCCUCUCCGUACGGAAUAACUCAGGGAAGCUUGAGCUAAUACCGGAUACGUCCGUGCGGAGAAAGAUUUAUCGCUUAAAGAUUGGCCCGCGUCUGAUUGGCGAGUUGGUGAGGUAAUGGCUCACCAAGGCUACGAUCAGUGGCUGAUCUGAGAGGAUGAUCAGCCACAUUGGGACUGAGACACGGCCCAAACUCCUACGGGGGGCAGCAGUGGGGAAUAUUGGACAAUGGGCGCAAGCCUGAUCCAGCCAGGCCGCGUGAGUGAUGAAGGCCUUCGGGUUGUAAAGCUCUUUUGUCCGGGAAGAUAAUGACUGUACCGGAAGAAUAAGCCCCGGCAAACUUCGUGCCAGCAGCCGCGGUAA